ACAAGAGUUCUGCUUAGGACUGAGUCUGGACUUGGAGGGGUUGUGGCAGCCUGGGGCCUUUCCUGGGUAUGCUUUUGGAAGAGAUUUAAAAGAGCAAUACAAAACCCACGCUUUUGCGGAGUAUAAAGUUGUUGGAAUAAUUUCCACAGCUGGGAUAUUCCAAUAAGAGUUUUGUGAGACACUCAGCUAAGGAAAAAAUCCCUUUCACUCAUCAUAAAAAUAAUAACCUAAUGUAAUAUUAAAAACAAUUCAGUUAAAUAUUUAAGGCUGAAGAGCAACUCACUUAAUUUUCAGCCUAGCACUAUUUUCUAAUAGCGGGGGCAGCAUACUCAUAUCAUCCUUACUUAAGAAGGAACGGGUGUGUUGGUGGCAGGAGCUCCUUGGGGGAGCAGGGCUCAGGUGGGACAUCAGCCCAGCUGCAGAGGAUGGGGGGAGGAAGGGGAGGGCUGGCCACACUUGCAGGCUGGCUCUGAAAAGGAGCUGCAAAACCCAGCAUGAGAGGCUAUGAAGCUGAAGGAGUAAGACGGGGUGGUGGUACUAGCUGCUGCUGCUGUUGUCUGGGUGGAGUAGCUGAAAAACAUUGUGCAAGAAGGAAGAGAAGAUGUUCAAGCCCCAGGACAGAAACCAUUUGCCACACACUUAGAGCCUUGGCUUUCAAAAAGUGGUGCAACACAGUGCAGAAUCAGGGUCAACCACUGUUGCUGCUUUUUAAUAUCAGUAGAGAAAUGACUUUGCACUCAUCGCAUCAAGAGGAUUGUGAAGUUCAGAAAGUACCACCUGCUCUCUUAAGUGGACAGGGAUAAGAAGUGAUGCUGUAAGGAAGGUAAAAGUGAUACGAUAAGAUGUGAAAUGUAAUAGGGAAUGCAAGUAGUUACCAGCAAAACACCAAAAAGCAUCCUCAGUUUGUAAAGCUGUAAAUACCGCUGCUGUGAUCAGUUCCCGGGAAAAUACAGCAGAACAGGCCGUGUACUUGACCACUGAAGAUGUCAAGAUGUUGAAUGUGGUAUGUACCUGAUGUCUGAAGAUGUCAAGAUGUUGUUCAUCUAAUUUGCCCGGUUUAAAAAAGCCUCCAGCUUCUUGCCUUGCUGGAGUGCACCAACCUCCAUCUUCCCCUGGAGCAGCCCUGGGACCCCAGGACCCACCCGCCCAUCUCAGGCUGCUGCUGGAGCCCCAACACCCCCUGCAACCCACAACCUCUCCACCUGGAGUGCAAAUAAAAUAUUCCAUCAGGUUUUAUGUGCUACA
rnacentral:lncRNA from 1 species